rnacentral:rRNA from 1 species
UACGGGGGGUGCGAGCGUUGUCCGGAAUCACUGGGCGUAAAGGGCGCGUAGGUGGUUUGAUAAGGGUGUGGUGAAAGUCCGGGGCUCAACCCCGGAUCUGCCGUGCCGACUGUCAAACUCGAGGGCUGUAGAGGCAGACGGAAUUCCGGGUGUAGCGGUGGAAUGCGUAGAGAUCCGGAGGAAGGCCGGUGGCGAAGGCGGUCUGCUGGGCAGUUUCUGACACUGAUGCGCGACAGCGUGGGGAGCAAACAGG